AUGGGGCGAGGGCAGGAAGUGACAAGCUCUCGGAGUGGGUGGGGGGAGUGUGGCCGGCACGCCCGGGAGCGUCACGCGCAUGCGCCCGGCCCGGCGCCCCCGCCGGUGGGGAGGCGACGCGCGGCGGCUGGGCAGGGAGAGGGAGACCGGGCUGGUGGCGCGGGGCCGACAGCCGGGUGUCUUCGACCCGCGGCUCUCGCAAGCGUCCCCGGCGGACGGGGGGCCGAAGUCCUGGGCUUCGCGGGCCAAGAGCAAUUUCUGAAGUGUUCUUCUCAGAGCUUUAUCAGGUCUUUGGGAGGAAAACAGUCUAGUCCGUGGAAGAUAGGUAUUGAUCGCAGCUGCGCUUGGCGUCUGGCAUCUGAAAGCGAAGUUGGGUCACGUGGGCAGUACUCACUUUUUCUUCUCUUCGGCGCUUAUCCUGCUUGGAAAACCCCCCAGGAUCGCAGUGGUCUGUCAAAUUCUGCAACCCCGUGUGCCGGUGCUCGGGGGUGGGAGAGCCGCUUCCCCCGCCUUCUCCCCGGCUCCAGAAGCAAAAAUGAAAAUUUUAAGAAAGAAAAAGUCCAUUUAAAAAAUCUCCACCCGCCCUCCCCCACGAUCCACUGAAAACUUUCAUGAUUAAGUUGCCGGUUUUCGGAUCCGUGAAAACGGUUAGUAGACAGGCUCUGUAUGUAUUUUGGAAGAACAAACGAGUGACUGAAAUCUAUUUUCAAAAUUCAGAGUUUGUAUUAGGUCCAGUAAUAAAUAUGUUACUGUAAAUACACUGAAUGGAGUAUUUGCAUAGAUCUGAGUGAUUUUAGCAACCAAAUAAUAGGGGUGACAGGAAAAUGAUAAAAAAAUUAUCUUUUUAAAAAGGAAUUCCACCUGUUCAUUCUGCACACUUAACUGGUCAGCAUAGUAUAUUUGAUCAUUUUUGUCUGUCCCAUUGUUAAGCAACACAAAACAAACUAAAAUGAAAUGGAUCUAGGUGGUCGGGGGGCGGUCCAAGAGGGGAUAUGUGGGCAUGUAUAUAUAUAUACACACACAUAUAGCUGAUUCACUUUGUUAUAUGGCAGAAGCUAACAACAUUGUAAAGCAACUAUUGUCCCAAUUAAAAAUGAAAUGCCACAAUUUCUAAAAGUAAAGUAAGCUGCAUCCACAUGAUAGUGUUUGUCAUACAACCAGUAAAAUAUUUUUCUUAUAUUUUCAUGCUAAGUCUCUUCAGUCCUGUCCAAUUCUUUGCAACCCAAGGGACUGUAUCCCACAAGGCUCCUCUGUCCAUGGGAUUCUCUAGGCAAGAAUACUGGAGUGGGUUGCCAUGCCCUCCUCCAAUCUUCCUGACCCAGGAAGGGAAUCUGCAUCUCCUGCAGCUCCAGGCACUGCAGGUGAUUCUUUUACCACUGAGCCACAGAGGAAUAUGCUUAUGCAAAACAAUAGAAAAAAAAUUUUAAUGUGACCCUUAACAGUGGAAUUUUUAUUUUAACACUGGAGAUCCUUGGUAAAAUUUGAGGUGAAAUAUUUUUAAGUUUUGGGAGAUCUUCUACUUGAAUAAGCAAAUUUAUCAUGGGCUUAAAAAUGAAUAUACAAUUUUAAAUUUUCAACCUGAAUAAGCAAAUUUAUCAUGGGCUUAAAAAUGAAUAUACAAUUUUAAAUUUUCAUGAACAUGAAAAAGCGUUACUUCAGAUAAGUGAAAGUUACAAGUAUUUGCUGACCAGAUGUGAAUUAAAGAUGUUUAUAUUUCAAAGUGGUCAUCACUAGAGAGUCCUCAAAAUUGUAUGCUAAUAGAAUAAGUUUUAAAUAUUCUGAAAAAUUAGGAUUAUAGACAAAAUUGGAAUGUGCAUAUGGGUAAAACAAAUAUUGAACACACUGAAUCAUAGAAUUUUAAAGAUGAAGCCAUGGAAAUUAUCUGGUAACAUUCCUUACUUUGUACAUAGAAAACUGAAACCCAGAGAGGUUAACUGUGUUUUCUGAAGGUCACAUAGUAGCAGAACUGCGUCUAGAACCUAGAUCAUUCCCUUUAUAAAAUAACAAUAUUAGUAUCUGAUAUGUUUUGAGUAAUUAAUGUUUUAGGUUCAGGCAUGAAGUCAUUUAAUUAUAUCAACAAUCCAAUGAGAUUUUGUUAUCCUCCAUUCUUCAGGGGGAGAAACUGAGGCACAGAAUGGUUCAGUUCAGUUGCUCAGUCAUGUUGGACUCUUUGACCCCAUGGACUGCAGCAUGCCAGGCUUCCCUGUCCAUCACCAACUCCCUGAGUUUACGCAAACACAAUUGUUUACUCAAAUGUCCCAGCUGAGUUUAUUCAAAUGUCCAUUGAGUGGGUGAUGCUAUCCAAACACCUUAUCCUCUGUUGUCCCCUUCUCCUCCCACUUUCAAUCUUUCCCAACAUCAGUCUUUUCAAAUGAGUCACUUCUAUCACAAUGAGUCAGGUGGUCAAAACGGAGUUUCAGCUUCAGCAUCAGUCCUUCCAAUGAAUAUUAUCAGGACUGAUUUCCUUUAGGACGGACAGGUUGGAUCUCCUUGCAGUCCGAGGGACUCUCAAGAGUCUUCUCCAACAACACAGUUCAAAAGCAUCAAUUCUUCAGCGUUCAACUUUCUUUAGAGUGCCAACUCUCACAUCCAUACAUGACUACUGGAAAAUACAUAGUUUUGACUAGAUGGACCUUUGUUGGCAAAGUAAUGUCUCUGCUUUUUAAUAUGCUGUCUAGGUUGGUCAUAGCUUUUCUUCUAAGGAACAAAUGUCUUUUAAUUUCAUGGCUGCAGUCACCCUCUGAAGUGAGUUUGGAGCCCCCCAAAAUAAAAUCUGUCACUGUUUCCAUGGUUUCCUCAACUAUUUGCCAUGAAGUGAUGGGACUAGAUGCCAUGACC
ensembl:lincRNA